UACGGAGGGGGCUAGCGUUGUUCGGAAUGACUGGGCGUAAAGCGCGCGUAGGCGGGCUGGAAAGUCAGGGGUGAAAUCCCGGGGCUCAACCCUGGAAUUGCCUUUGAGACUCCCAGCCUUGAGUUCGAGAGAGGUGAGUGGAAUUCCGAGUGUAGAGGUGAAAUUCGUAGAUAUUCGGAGGAACACCAGUGGCGAAGGCGGCUCACUGGCUCGACACUGACGCUGAGGUGCGAAAGCGUGGGGAGCAAACAGG
rnacentral:rRNA from 2 species